AGUUUGAUCAUGGCUCAAGAACGAACGCUGGCGGCAUGCCUAACACAUGCAAGUCGAACGAGACCUUCGGGUCUAGUGGCGCACGGGUGCGUAACACGUGGGAAUUUGCCUCGGGGUAUGGAAUAACUCAGGGAAACUUGAGCUAAUACCAUAUAAUGUCUUCGGACCAAAGAUUUAUCGCCUUUAGAUGGGCCCGCGUUGGAUUAGCUAGUUGGUGGGGUAAAGGCCUACCAAGGCGACGAUCCAUAGCUGGUCUGAGAGGAUGAUCAGCCACACUGGGACUGAGACACGGCCCAGACUCCUACGGGAGGCAGCAGUGGGGAAUAUUGGACAAUGGGCGAAAGCCUGAUCCAGCAAUGCCGCGUGAGUGAUGAAGGCCUUAGGGUUGUAAAGCUCUUUACCCGGGAAGAUAAUGACUGUACCGGGAGAAUAAGCCCCGGCUAACUCCGUG
rnacentral:rRNA from 1 species